rnacentral:rRNA from 1 species
ACUGCGAAUGGCUCAUUAUAUAAGUUAUCGUUUAUUUGAUAGUACCUUACUACUUGGAUAACCGUGGUAAUUCUAGAGCUAAUACAUGCUAAAAAUCCCGACUUCGGAAGGGAUGUAUUUAUUAGAUUAAAAACCAAUGCCCUCUGGGCUCUCUGGUGAUUCAUGAUAACUUCUCGAAUCGCAUGGCCUUGCGCCGGCGAUGGUUCAUUCAAAUUUCUUCCCUAUCAACUUUCGAUGUUUGGGUAUUGGCCAAACAUGGUCGCAACGGGUAACGGAGGGUUAGGGCUCGACCCCGGAGAAGGAGCCUGAGAAACGGCUACUACAUCCAAGGAAGGCAGCAGGCGCGCAAAUUACCCAAUCCCGACACGGGGAGGUAGUGACAAUAAAUACUGAUACAGGGCUCUUUCGGGUCUUGUAAUUGGAAUGAGUACAAUUUAAAUCCCUUAACGAGGAACAAUUGGAGGGCAAGUCUGGUGCCAGCAGCCGCGGUAAUUCCAGCUCCAAUAGCGUAUAUUAAAGUUGUUGUGGUUAAAAAGCUCGUAGUUGAACCUUGGGCCUGGCUGGCCGGUCCGCCUCACCGCGUGUACUGGUCCGGCCGGGCCUUUCCCUCUGUGGAACCUCAUGCCCUUCACUGGGCGUGACGGGGAAACAGGACUUUUACUGUGAAAAAAUUAGAGUGCUCCAGGCAGGCCUAUGCUCGAAUACAUUAGCAUGGAAUAAUGAAAUAGGACGUGCGGUUCUAUUUUGUUGGUUUCUAGGACCGCCGUAAUGAUUAAUAGGGACAGUCGGGGGCAUCAGUAUUCAAUUGUCAGAGGUGAAAUUCUUGGAUUUAUUGAAGACUAACUACUGCGAAAGCAUUUGCCAAGGAUGUUUUCAUUAAUCAGGAACGAAAGUUAGGGGAUCGAAGACGAUCAGAUACCGUCGUAGUCUUAACCAUAAACUAUGCCGACUAGGGAUCGGACGAUGUAAAUAAUUGACUCGUUCGGCACCUUACGAGAAAUCAAAGUGUUGCU